GGCGGCUGCACCGGCGGCGGCGGCACCACACAAACAAGGACGCUGAUUGGGCAGCUGCCAAGCGCCUCGGCUCCGCCUUCCCCACACGCCACGACGCCCAUUGGGCGACCUAAGCCGGCCUCCCCGCCCUCCUCUUCUCGGCCAUACCAAUAGGGGACGGGAUGCCGGGACUACACCCCACCCUUGAAGAGUGAGUGGCUGGAAAAGUGAUGAUUGGCGUACUUAAGACCCAAUCCUAAACGGAGGAGGGGGAUGGUCUAGCGGGGGCGCGUUAAUGGGUACCUCGGCCAGUCCCAGACACAUCCGGGUCUUCAGCAGCCCAUUAAGUGUCGGGGGUCAAAAAAUCGCUUCAGGCUGCAACUUUACCUCAGAGACGUUUUGGUCCCCAGGCAGCCGCCGUACCCCAGUAUCCCAAAACCGGGAUUCCCCUUUGGCCAGCUCUCAUUCUUCCAAUUCUAAAGAUGGAGACUGGCGAACGGCGCUGGGCUCUGCGCUGGGUGGUGUGUUUCAUCGCGACAGAAUCCAGAAAUUUCACGAUAGAAGUAGCUUGAGGCGCUUGGGCCUUGCAGUCUAUUUGGGGCGUGGCCUGUCUCCGUCUGCCAAAGGCCUUAAGCUUCCUGGUCUUCAUUGUAUCUCGGCACGGUCCUCUCGUGACUAAACCACAACAGGAGGAAAAAGGGCUCGCCAAAUUGCUGAGAAAUUACGCCGUGAAGAGCCCUCGCAGCUCCUUCUCUCGGGAUCUCCUGCUCAAGAUAGGAUGGGGAAGCAUCCUCUGGCUUGAAGUUCCCAGAAUUCAGAAGCAGUACUGCUCUCUUCAUCCCCUGAUCACCCGUAGGAAUCUGCACUGGGGCUCAUGAAAGAAAGGGAGAACUCGGAGUGGGCCAAAAGGAUUAGAAAAAUGAUGCCUGGCUCCAUGAUGCCCACAUGCACUGAGCCCCUUAAUCCUUGCCCCUGUCUUCCUGGUGCUGUCCCUAGGCUGAGACCCUGGCUGGAAGAGUACUGCCUGCAGCUAGAGCAACUAAGGAGGCCUAGGAUGAGUGCCAGGACUUCCAGGAUGCAUGAGGGCUUCCAAUACCAAUGACCGGGGACAGGGUUGUCAUCCCUGUGGAGGUACUAGAGAAGCUGGGAGGGGGGAGCUGGGGGAGAGGAAAGAAGGCAGAGAUGAGCUCAGGGCCCCCAGAGAAUGGAGCCUUUGUGUGGGGUACAGAUGAGGGACAAGGGGGUGAUUGUGUGGGAGGGCCGGAAGUGCCACACAGACUGGCACCACCAUAGCUAUUACCGGAUUCACCCCUCUCCUGCCCUGAGAACUCCCU